rnacentral:lncRNA from 1 species
GCCCACAAGGACAACAUGGGACAAAUCAAUCAUACAAGAUGGAUGAGGCCGCUCGGUGAUGCUUGGGUGAAAAGCGCUUCCAGAUUUCACACCAGCUUCACUUCUGUGCUCUGGCUGAAAACACAGCCUUCAUUGCAUGAGUCAUCCGUUCUCCGACAUGAGAUUUCACAGGGAAUCUGGUGCCAGGAGCCAUUUGGAUGAUGCCAACCUGCUGAACACAUCCAGAUUUGAAGAAUAUCAUAAGUGGAUUUAGAAAUGAGUCAAAAGUGUCUCCGGGAGAAUGUUAUAGGCUCUUGGACUUGCCUUGAAGCUGAGCAUCACCAUAUCUCUUUUCCAACUGCAAAAUCGUGAGUCACUGGAUGCAACAAGACUCAGAGCUCACAGUGGGAAUUUCUGAUCAAAAGUGUUUCUGAGCUAUGCCUUGACAAAUAACACCGCUUUUUUUUUUUUCCCAAGAGGGAAGUACUAGUAUUACCAUCUAUUUUGAAGGGACCUUCAAUGACUUACCUCAGCAUCUUUCCUCACUUAAAAUAAACAGGAAAAAAAAAAGCAUUCUGUGGAAAUAAAAAGAGGAAUUAAUAGGGUUUUUAUGGUAGGAAGCUUCUCACUAAUAUUUUAGUCUUACUCAGCAGAGAGACAUGAAAACAACAAACUACAGGAUAAAUCCCGAUGGCCAAAGGCUUCGCUCGUGGACAUAGUUUUCCUCCUUUCUGACCAGCACAAGACAUACCUCAAAUCUCAGAAGCUGAGGCAAGACUCAAGAUAAGUUGCUGCUGUGACAUUAAAUUACAUUUUGGGGCCACCAAAGGGCUUUCUGAGAUUAAGGAGAGGGAAAUGAAAGCCAACAGUGAUUUAAAUGAAGGUGGGAAACAUAGCAAAAAAAAAAAGGACAAAGCACUCUGGACAGAACUUUCGUCAAAGCACACUAAGAUCAACGUGAGCCAUUUUUCUCAUCCAGACAGGUUUUGCAGCAAGCCUGUGCUUAAAUGUCCAGUUACAGUCUUUGUUUGGUCCAUGGCCACAGAGAAGCAGAAACUGCUUUUUCUCCCAGAGAAGCAGUUCCUUGCCAAGUAUCCCCACACAAAGAAAACAAACACAGGAGAAGGCACCAUCGCAGAUACCCAGGGAGAUAAGCUGCAAAAACAUGUGCUCUGGGCAAAAGUGCAAGGUGCAGAAUAA